UGUAAGCGUAUACCAAAGUUGUUGCAGUUAAAACGCUCGUAGUCGGAAUUUGGCAGUUCCGGAUGUGUGCACGUCGUGUGCGCACUUCGCGGGGAUUGCUUUUGUGGUCUUGCGUAGGAUGAGGCACUUUUAUUAGUGAACGUCCUCACGCAACCACUUUUUACUGUGAGAAAAUCAGAGUGCUCAAAGCAGGCAUUUGCCGUGAAUGUAUUAGCAUGGAAUAAUAGAAUAGGACUUGGUUCUAUUUUGUUGGUUUGUUGGGACUGAGUAAUGAUUAAGAGGGACAGUUGGGGGCAUUUGUAUUUCGGUGCUAGAGGUGAAAUUCUUAGAUUACCGAAAGACAAACUGCUGCGAAAGCGUCUGCCAAGAAUGUUUUCAUUGA
rnacentral:rRNA from 1 species